AUUGAACGCUGGCGGCAGGCCUAACACAUGCAAGUCGAGCGGAGCGGCGGACGGGUGAGUAAUGCUUAGGAAUCUGCCUGGUAGUGGGGGAUAACGUCCGGAAACGGGCGCUAAUACCGCAUACUAUCAGAUGAGCCUAGGUCGGAUUAGCUAGUUGGUAGGGUAAAGGCCUACCAAGGCGACGAUCCGUAACUGGUCUGAGAGGAUUAUCAGUCACACUUGAACUGAGAAACGGGCUAGACUCCUACGGGAGGCAGCAGUGGGGAAAAUUGGACAAUGGGCGAAAGACUGAUCCAGACAUGCCGCGUGUGUGAAGAAGGUCUUCGGAUUGUAAAGCACUUUAAGUUGGGAGGCGUUACCAACAGAAUAAGCACCGGCUAACUUCGUGCCAGCCGCCGCGGUAAUUC
rnacentral:rRNA from 1 species